GAUGAAGAACGUAGCGAAAUGCGAUACGUAGUGUGAAUUGCAGAAUUCAGUGAAUCAUCGAAUCUUUGAACGCACAUUGCGCCCUUUGGUAUUCCAAAGGGCAUGCCUGUUCGAGCGUCAUUUGUACCCUCAAGCUUUGCUUGGUGUUGGGCGUCUUGUCUCCAGUCCGCUGGAGACUCGCCUUAAAGUCAUUGGCAGCCGGCCUACUGGUUUCGGAGCGCAGCACAAGUCGCACUCUUUUCCAGCCAAGGUCAGUGUCCAACAAGCCUUUUUUCAACUUUUGACCUCGGAUCAGGUAGGGAUACCCGCUGAACUUAAGCAUAUCAAUAAGCGGGGA
rnacentral:misc_RNA from 1 species